rnacentral:rRNA from 1 species
UGGGGAAUAUUGCACAAUGGGCGCAAGCCUGAUGCAGCCAUGCCGCGUGUAUGAAGAAGGCCUUCGGGUUGUAAAGUACUUUCAGCGGGGAGGAAGGCGAUAAGGUUAAUAACCUUGUCGAUUGACGUUACCCGCAGAAGAAGCACCGGCUAACUCCGUGCCAGCAGCCGCGGUAAUACGGAGGGUGCAAGCGUUGAUCGGAAUUACUGGGCGUAAAGCGCACGCAGGCGGUAUGUCAAGUCGGAUGUGAAAUCCCCGGGCUCAACCUGGGAACUGCAUUCGAAACUGGCAGGCUAGAGUCUUGUAGAGGGGGGUAGAAUUCCAGGUGUAGCGGUGAAAUGCGUAGAGAUCUGGAGGAAUACCGGUGGCGAAGGCGGCCCCCUGGACAAAGACUGACGCUCAGGUGCGAAAGCGUGGGGAGCAAACA